rnacentral:tRNA from 1 species
CGGUGGUUGGUCCAACGGCAAGACGCUGAAACGAGCUACCCAGAGACUGACGGUUCGAGUCCGUCGACCACCGA